UGGGGAAUUGUUCGCAAUGGGCGCAAGCCUGACGACGCAACGCCGCGUGGAGGAUGAAGACCUUCGGGUCGUAAACUCCUUUCGAUCGAGACGAAUGGCUCUUGGGUUAACAGCCCAGGGGUAUGACGGUACCGAGAGAAGAAGCCCCGGCUAACUCCGUGCCAGCAGCCGCGGUAAUACGGGGGGGGCAAGCGUUGUUCGGAAUUACUGGGCGUAAAGGGCUCGUAGGUGGCCAACUAAGUCAGACGUGAAAUCCCUCGGCUUAACCGGGGAACUGCGACUGAUACUGGAUGGCUUGAGUUCGGGAGAGGGAUGCGGAAUUCCAGGUGUAGCGGUGAAAUGCGUAGAUAUCUGGAGGAACACCGGUGGCGAAGGCGGCAUCCUGGACCGACACUGACAAUGAGGAGCGAAAGCCAGGGGAGCAAACGGG
rnacentral:rRNA from 1 species